rnacentral:rRNA from 1 species
UACGUAGGGUGCAAGCGUUAAUCGGAAUUACUGGGCGUAAAGCGUGCGCAGGCGGUUCUAUAAGACAGAUGUGAAAUCCCCGGGCUCAACCUGGGAACUGCAUUUGUGACUGUAGAGCUGGAGUACGGUAGAGGGGGAUGGAAUUCCGCGUGUAGCAGUGAAAUGCGUAGAUAUGCGGAGGAACACCGAUGGCGAAGGCAAUCCCCUGGACCUGUACUGACGCUCAUGCACGAAAGGCGUGGGGAGCAAACGAGGAUACGAAACCCGGUA